UGAGUAAUGUCUGGGAAACUGCCCGAUGGAGGGGGAUAACUACUGGAAACGGUAGCUAAUACCGCAUAACGUCUUCGGACCAAAGUGGGGGACCUUCGGGCCUCACACCAUCGGAUGUGCCCAGAUGGGAUUAGCUAGUAGGUGGGGUAAUGGCUCACCUAGGCGACGAUCCCUAGCUGGUCUGAGAGGAUGACCAGCCACACUGGAACUGAGACACGGUCCAGACUCCUACGGGAGGCAGCAGUGGGGAAUAUUGCACAAUGGGCGCAAGCCUGAUGCAGCCAUGCCGCGUGUAUGAAGAAGGCCUUCGGGUUGUAAAGUACUUUCAGUGGGGAGGAAGGCGUUAAGGUUAAUAACCUUGGCGAUUGACGUUACCCGCAGAAGAAGCACCGGCUAACUCCGUGCCAGCAGCUGGCGGUAAUACGGAGGGUGCAAGCGUUAAUCGGAAUUACUGGGCGUAAAGCGCACGCAGGCGGUCUGUCAAGUCGGAUGUGAAAUCCCCGGG
rnacentral:rRNA from 1 species